CUCAAUGACUAGGGGUGCCGUUUACGGCUGAGAAAUACCCUUCGAACCUGAUCUGGAUUAAUGCCAGCGUAGGGAAGUCAGAUGCCUGACCG
rnacentral:ncRNA from 2 species